rnacentral:rRNA from 1 species
CCUACGGAGGGCUGCAGUGGGGAAUAUUGGACAAUGGGGGGAACCCUGAUCCAGCCAUGCCGCGUGUGUGAAGAAGGCCCUCGGGUUGUAAAGCACUUUCAGUGAGGAAGAACGCCUGGUGGUUAAUACCCAUCAGGAAAGACAUCACUCACAGAAGAAGCACCGGCUAACUCCGUGCCAGCAGCCGCGGUAAUACGGAGGGUGCGAGCGUUAAUCGGAAUUACUGGGCGUAAAGCGCGCGUAGGUGGCUUGAUAAGCCGGUUGUGAAAGCCCCGGGCUCAACCUGGGAACGGCAUCCGGAACUGUCAAGCUAGAGUGCAGGAGAGGAAGGUAGAAUUCCCGGUGUAGAGGUGAAAUGCGUAGAGAUCGGGAGGAAUACCAGUGGCGAAGGCGGCCUUCUGGACUGACACUGACACUGAGGUGCGAAAGCGUGGGUAGCAAACAGGAUUAGAUACCCUAGUAGUC